UGGCGGAUGGGUGAGUAACGCGUGGGUAACCUGCCUCAUACAGGGGGAUAACAGUUAGAAAUGACUGCUAAUACCGCAUAAGACCACAGUACCGCAUGGUACAGGGGUAAAAACUCCGGUGGUAUGAGAUGGACCCGCGUCUGAUUAGGUAGUUGGUGGGGUAACGGCCUACCAAGCCGACGAUCAGUAGCCGACCUGAGAGGGUGACCGGCCACAUUGGGACUGAGACACGGCCCAA
rnacentral:rRNA from 1 species